rnacentral:lncRNA from 1 species
CUCCCGUUCCGCGCGCUCUAGUUCCGAAAGUACCUUUUUUAGACCGGACUGGGGCUCAGAGGGGUUUCCAUGACUACGGGACUCCUCCGACCGGUACCCUGCAGAUGCUUGUCAGAAAUUGGCUUGGAGGCCGGGCUCGGUGGCUGACGCCUGUAAUCCCAGCACUUUGGGAGGCCGAGGCGGGCGGAUCACGAGGUCAGAAGAUCGAGACCAUCCUAGCUAACACGGUGAAACCCCGUCUCUACUAAAAAUACAAAAAAAAAAAAAAAAAAAAAAUUAGCCGGGAGUGGUGGCGGGCGCCUGUUGUCCCAGCUACUCGGGAGGCUGAGGCAGGAGAAUGGCGUGAACCCGGGAGGCAGGGCUUGCAAUGAGCCAAGAUCGCGCCACUGCACUCCAGCCUGGGCGACAGAGCGAGACUCCGUCUCAGAAAAAAAAAAAAAGAAAGAAAUUGGCUUGGAGAUUUUUCGCCGGCCACUCCUUCUUGAGCCCUGACUGAAAAUGUGAAUCCUCUCAUGGAUCAUGAGGCACCUCGCCCCACUAGAAGAGUAAUUUUGGAGUUUAACUGAAUCAUGUAAAAUAUAAUCUGCCUAAGAGUGACCGGGUUGAAAUGAGACACCCCAAGAUUUUCUGAAACCUUGAAGUCAAGAAGCUGGAGAAUAAAAUGGCCAUUUAAAAAUCUGUGAUCACUUUUCAGUCAUCCAGGAAGUGAAGGCUUGACUUUCACAGUUGGGCAGAUUGGGAAAACCAUCUCUAGGGCCUUUGAGUUAUGCAAAUAUAAAGCAAAUCCUCACCCUUGGCCCUUAGGGAAAACCUUGAAGUCACCUGAAUGUAUGUUUUAUCCUGAGAACAAAACAUUUCUGUUCAGCAGUGAAAAUUGGGGGUAUGCUUUAGCAGAGGUAGUUUUCUGAAGACUUUGGGCUUGGGGAGAAAUGUUAAUUUUUUUGUUUGGAUUUAGAUUCCGUUGUGCUGGUAUAUUAUUUCUUAUUCCUAGUCUGUGUACAUAUGUGCGUUAUAUAUGUGCAUGUGUGUGUGUGUAUUCGUGUAAAGAAAUGUAUUCAAGCAUUUGUUCAGAGAAGAUCAGGAGCUGAAACCUAGUCGUUGGAUAUUUUAAUCUGGGUUCCCUGAUAGCAGAGCCUCAGAUGAGGUUGAUAGGUGAGGGAUUUAUCCAGAAAUGAACAGGGAAGGAAGGAGAAUUAAUACCAAUAUGUGCUAUUGAGUUGGCCAUUGCAAGGGGUGACUGAUUGUUCAGUCCUCAGGAGUUUCUGAGAAGCCUUGUGAAGCUCUCAAAACCCUUCUUCUGAGGAACAGAGAGGAAAAGCAUUUAUCUGUCAGCUUUUGAAGUCUAUUGUCAAAAGUUGACCACAAGGCAUUAAUUCACUGGUGUUCCUGUGUUGAGCAUGCAUCUGUGCUUGGUUCCUGGAGGAGUCCUAUGUUGCAUAGUCAAAGAAGCCCUGAGGCAAAAGUGAGGAAACUAGGUGCAUAUCUGAGGCAAGGCUCUCACCAGUUAUACCUGUGCUAAGCUAGUAGAUGCCUGUGAUAAACUAGUUGCUGUAGCAAUGGCUAGAGUAAGAAUGUAAGACCAAGAGUAUGUGAAGUAGUACUAAAGAGCUGUCUUACACAUUGGGCUAGAAGGAUGUGAGGCCUGGUCAUUUCCACAAUGCACGUUCGAAGAGACUGGAAAGGAUCUGGGUUUGGUGUGGUUCACUUUAAGUUGCAAUAUGGAUGACCUACAUAUUGUGUUAUUCAGGGUGGAAUGGCCCAGGAAUUGUAAAAUACAGUAUACUGAUGCCGGUCUGUUCAGUUCUGGUAGAAUAUACUGUUUUGGAUCAGUGUGGUUCCUUUAAGGAAAUGGACAUCCCUACUCUGCAGUGAUCACCAACUGAAGGAAACGUAUCUCAAGCUCUGAGGGAGGCCUUUGAAGGCACCCUGCAUUGGCUUGAGUUUAGACAGUAGCACUCCUGCUCCCACCUCCCACCCUGAAACUGUGGAAACACAGCAUGGCAAAAGCUCUCUUCCAAGAAAAUCUUCUGUCUCCUCCUCAAUUCUCUGCAUUUUCAUAGUCCUGCAGUGACUGAGGGGCUUUAAGGGGUGCUAAGCACGUUCACAGCCAUUUCCUUUGUUAGAUUCUGCAUCGGAUGAUCUGGAACCUCAGUGGAAUUUCACUCCUUUCAUGUGUGGAAACCUCUCAAGACUUCACUUUUAUCCCUUCAUGAGCGUCUGGGUCAUCCUAACUCACGUAGGCUUGCAUACCCCCACUUCACUCUAAUUCACAUCUUUGAUUAUUUCCUUCGGAAAAUUUACCAUAACCUGCAGUUAUCUUGUUUAUUUGAUGACUUUAUCAUCUGUUUUCCCCUCUAGAAUAUUAACUUUAUGAAGGCACAGUUCCCGUUUGUCUCAUUCGCUGUUGUAUCCCAGGGCUAGCACAGCCCCUGGGAUGUGGUAGAUGCCCCACAAUAUUUGUUAACAGAAUGAAUGAAUUCACUAAUUUUUUAUUCAGGGUCCCCUAUUUGCCACCGGUUGAUGUGAAAAUCGAAUGGGAUUUUUGUGAAAAUGCUUUGUAAACUAUAAAGUUUUAUAAGUCUUAGUAUCAAAUGAGGUAGAUAUUAUUUCCCCCUUUUAUAGUUGGGAAAAUGGUGCCGAAGAGUAUAAAUGGUUGGUCAAGGCUGCACAGGCAGCAAAUUGGUUGAAAUCAGAUUGCAGCCCAGGCUGGCUGUGAUUGUGAAGAACAUAGACAAGAAAUUAUAAACCCAUUGUUUUUUACCUCCCACAUUUUGUAAUGGGGAAAACCAGAAGACAGGAGCUUGAUUUCGGUAUCCAGAUUACACUUUGAACCAGGAGAGGCUAGGAAGGAGGAUUGGCCUUGAGUUCUGUUUCAGGGUCAUCAGCCUAUCUAUGUGAUUACAUAGGAGUCCCCCCUUAUCAGUAGUUUCACUUUCAGCCUUUUCAAUUACCCGUGGUCAAUCACAGUAUGAAAAUAUGAAAUGCGCUGGGCGCAGUGUCUCAUGCCUGUAAUCCCAGCACUUUGGGAGUCCGAGACGGGCUGCUCACUGGAGGUCAGGAACUCGACACCAGCUGACCAACAUGGUGAAACUCCAUCUCUACUAAAAAUACAAAAAUUAGCCGGACGUGUUGGCACACGCCUGUAAUCCCAGCUACUUGGGAGGCUGAGGCAGGAGAAUCACUUGAACCUGGGAGGCAGAGAUUGCAGUGAGCCGAGAUCACACCAUUGCACUCCAGCCUGGGUGACCAAAGUAAAACUCCGUCCAAAAAAAAAAGAAAAAAAAAACGAAAUGGAAAUUUCCAGAAAUAAACAAUUCAUACAUUUCAACUUGCUGCUGUUCUGAGUAGCGUGAUGAAAUCUUGCGCCAUCCCACUUCAUUCUGCCUGGAAUGUGAAUCAUCCCUUAGUCAAGCAUAUCCACGCUUUAUAUGCUACCCACCCGUUAGUCACUUAAUAACCAUCUCAGUUAUGAGAUCCACUGUCCCAGUGCUUGUGUUCAAGUAACCUUUAUUUUGCUUAGUGGUCUCAAAGCAUAAGAGUAGUGAUGCUGGCAUAUUGUUAUAUUUGUUCUAUUUUAUUAUUAGUUAUUGUUAAUCUCUUACUGUGCCUAAUUUAUAAAUUUACUUUAUCAUAAGGAUGUAUUUAUAGGACAGAACACAUAUAUAGAGAGUUUGAUACUAUCCACGGCAGUAUAUGUAGAGUUUGAUACGAUCCACGGUUUUGUGCAUUCACUGGGGGUCUUGAAACAUAUCCCCCGUGGAUUAGGGGUACUACUGUGUUAAUAAUCAUUGUAGUUAACACUUACUGAAUGCUUUCUAUGUGUCAGCACUUUAUGUGACCCUCUUUAAUCUUUGUAGUUUCAUGAGGUACUAUUAUAUAUAUGAGUCGAAUCACAGAAAGAUGAAGACUCUCACUGAAGGCCACAUGGCUGUGUGGUGUGCCUGGGUUUGAAAUUCAGAGUCAGGGCUCCUGACCACCAUGCUAUAAUGCAUAGGACUUAUAUGGCGUUCGACAUGAGAUUAUAGUUUAGGCCCUGACACUUACCUGCUAUAUGACUCUGCCCCAAACCUCAGUGUCCUCAAAUGGUAAUGAUAAGAAGUGCAGUCAAAAGGUUGUUAAGGUUACUUAGAUAAUGCCUGGGGAGAAUUUAACAUGGUCCUUGUUGAUAGUCAGUACGCAACAAAUGUCAUCUGUCCUCCUCCCCCUCCUCCUCACCUUUAACCAAAUAACUCAAAUAGUAUGAGUGCUUUUAACAAUGAUGAUUUAUUAAAAGAAACAACCCCUCUUCCCUGCCUCCCAUAUCCCCUGUAGUCUCCAUCCACAGGCUUGCUGUUUUCAUCCAUCUUCCUAGUCAAGGAACUCCAGACAGUCACAUCUUGGAAGAUAGGAACUCCAGGAAGGGAUGACGAUCUUAGGGAAAGAUGAUCCUUAAGAUAACUCUUCAUCUGAGAAAAAGACAAAAAAAAUUUUGCCCGAGACCUGCUGUUUUGGGGACCUGGAUCCACAGAAUACAAUCAAGAGGCAACAGUUCCCAAUUUGGGAAAUCAAUCACACCUGCAAAGAGCCAGCCAGGCCCUAAGCAGUCCAAGGAUUGCAGGUGGAUUGGCCAAACAAUACAUUCUGAACACAAAGGGUUUUUAUUUAAAGUGUAUGCUGAUUCUGUUGUGUUUAGUGCAACUUAGUUUAUAAUCAAAACUGGUAGCUUUUUAUUAUGCAUUUUUCAACUAAUGGCUACUGAAAACAAAU